GCUAAACAUAUAUUAAAUGUUGCCACAUCUAUCUAGUCCGUCCUUCCUUUGUUGCUUUGAGUUUAGUUGGGUGUAUUACAAAUUUAUAAUACAGGAUCUUAUAUCAAGAGCAUAUAGAUUAAAUAGCAUCAAGUAAAGAGAAAGUAAAAAAUGGCAGCAAAUACACCACACACUAAUACAGCAUCUUAUAUCUAGUUUAUAGAUUAAAUAGCGUCAAGUAAAGACAAAGUAAUAAAUGGCGGCAAUGAAA
rnacentral:misc_RNA from 1 species